ensembl:lncRNA
AGACAUCAUUUUUAUACUGAUUGCUUCAACCCUCUGCGAGUCUAAGCUUCUUAUUAACAAACUGGCUUCAUCCCAGAAAUUCAUAAGGGAUUAUAAUGUAGUUACAUAAUCAUAGCUAUUUGAGUUCUCUGACACAGAAAAAUAAGGUGACAAAAUGGCACUUCUCGGAUUAUCACAGAAUUACAAAAUCACAGAAUUGGAGCUGAAAGGGACAUCCAGAGAUCAACGAGUCCAGCCCCCCUGCAAAGAAGGCUCCCUACAGCAGGCUACACAGGCCCAUAUUCCUCAAGAUCACAAACUAAACCAGGGGUGCUAUAGCCCAGACUCCCUACAAAAUCAACUUAUUUGAUGAGUUCAUCUGCAAUGGUGUUUUCUGGACAAAUAACAUGACUCUGAAGAUCAGUGACAUAUCUGCAAGGUACUCUAAGAAUUAUGUAUUACCUAUACAACAUGUACACAACCUCUAUGUACAAAUCGUUUUCUUCAGGACAACUGAGCAAGAGGACACAGUUAAAGACAACAUAAAUUUAGAAGCAAGACAAAGUGUUAACAAGAAAAAUUAUAAGGAAAGAAACAUUAUUUCUGAAGGUUUUCUGUUGCAUUUUAUGCAACAAUUUCUGAUAAAUAAACAAUAGGAGGUUAAUUUCAAAUUCUUUCACGAUGUGUUAAAUCUUCUCAAAUUUUCCUUAUGUGGCCAUAAUGAAAGUAACUUAAAUAAUCC